CAAAAUAUAGCUUAACGAAAGCGUCUCGCUUACACCGAGAAGAUAUCUGUUCAACCCGGAUUAUAUUGA
rnacentral:tRNA from 1 species